GGUUCUGGAGCCUCAGACUGUGUGAAUGCUGGAGGUGGAACCAAGAUGACGUUUGGUACCGGAACCAGUUUGACCAUCGAACCCAAGGAAGAAAUUGAGCCGGAUUAUUACAAGCUGGAACAUGAAGACACCCCAGUUUGUCUGGCAACUGGAUUUACUCGACACAAUGGAGCAGAGAAUGAACCUGGGUUUAACAAUUCAAAGGCCAGUCAGAUAACAGAUCUCAGUGGGAAACCAAGAGGCGUCUACAGCCAGGUGGCCUUUCUGACAGAUGGACAAACAUGUGGAGAUGAUGAUGAGAAGCCAAAAGUCCAGUGUGACGCCAGUCUGGAACCAGAUGAGAUGGUGAAUCUGGCCUCCAUUACCAUCUUCGGCCUGAGAGUCAUCUUCAUGAAGACGGUGGCCUUCAACGUCCUGAUGACGCUGCGGCUGUGGAUGAGUCAGUGAUUUGUUGAGGAGGAAGGAAACGUCUCGAACCGGACCGAUCAGAUCCGGACCGAUCCGACCCGAUUCGAUCCGACUCGAUCUGGACCGAUCCAACCUGAUCCAGACCGAUCCGAUCCUGACCGAUCGACCCGAUCCGAUCCGGACCGAUCCGA